rnacentral:rRNA from 1 species
GACGAACGCUGGCGGCGUGCUUAACACAUGCAAGUCGAACGGUGAACUCGAGAGCUUGCUCUUGAGGGAUCAGUGGCGAACGGGUGAGUAACACGUGAGUAACCUGCCCCAGACUCUGGAAUAACACCUGGAAACAGGUGCUAAUACCGGAUACGACACGAACAGGCAUCUGUAUCGUGUGGAAAGUUUUUCGGUCUGGGAUGGACCCGCGGCCUAUCAGCUAGUUGGUGAGGUAAAGGCUCACCAAGGCGACGACGGGUAGCCGGCCUGAGAGGGCGACCGGCCACACUGGGACUGAGACACGGCCCAGACUCCUACGGGAGGCAGCAGUGGGGAAUAUUGCACAAUGGGCGAAAGCCUGAUGCAGCGACGCCGCGUGAGGGAUGACGGCCUUCGGGUUGUAAACCUCUUUCAGUAGGGAAGAAGCGAAAGUGACGGUACCUACAGAAGAAGCACCGGCUAACUACGUGCCAGCCGCCGCCGUAAGAC